UAGAGUUUGAUCCUGGCUCAGGAUGAACGCUGGCGGCGUGCCUAAUACAUGCAAGUCGAGCGAACGGACGAGAAGCUUGCUUCUCUGAUGUUAGCGGCGGACGGGUGAGUAACACGUGGAUAACCUACCUAUAAGACUGGGAUAACUUCGGGAAACCGGAGCUAAUACCGGAUAAUAUUUUGAACCGCAUGGUUCAAAAGUGAAAGACGGUCUUGCUGUCACUUAUAGAUGGAUCCGCGCUGCAUUAGCUAGUUGGUAAGGUAACGGCUUACCAAGGCAACGAUGCAUAGCCGACCUGAGAGGGUGAUCGGCCACACUGGAACUGAGACACGGUCCAGACUCCUACGGGAGGCAGCAGUAGGGAAUCUUCCGCAAUGGGCGAAAGCCUGACGGAGCAACGCCGCGUGAGUGAUGAAGGUCUUCGGAUCGUAAAACUCUGUUAUUAGGGAAGAACAUAUGUGUAAGUAACUGUGCACAUCUUGACGGUACCUAAUCAGAAAGCCAC
rnacentral:rRNA from 1 species